UACGUAGGGGGCUAGCGUUGUCCGGAAUCAUUGGGCGUAAAGAGCGCGUAGGCGGCCAGAUUAGUCCGGUGUGAAAGUCAAAGGCUCAACCUUUGAAUGCCGCUGGAAACUGUCUGGCUAGAGUCCGGGAGGGGCGAGUGGAAUUCCUGGUGUAGCGGUGAAAUGCGCAGAUAUCAGGAGGAACACCAAUGGCGAAGGCAGCUCGCUGGAACGGUACUGACGCUGAGGCGCGAAAGCGUGGGGAGCAAACAGG
rnacentral:rRNA from 1 species